rnacentral:misc_RNA from 1 species
GAGUUCAUGCCCUUCGGGGUAGACCUCCCACCCUUGAAUAUAUACCUUUGUUGCUUUGGCGGGCCGCUUCGGCUACUGGCUUCGGCUGGUGAGUGCCCGCCAGAGGACCCUAAAUUCUGAAUUAUAGUGUCGUCUGAGUACUAUAUAAUAGUUAAAACUUUCAACAACGGAUCUCUUGGUUCU